UACGUAGGCAGCGAGCGUUGUUCGGAGUUACUGGGCGUAAAGGGUGUGUAGGCGGUUGUUUAAGUUUGGUGUGAAAUCUCCCGGCUCAACUGGGAGGGUGCGCCGAAUACUGAAUGACUUCGAGUGCGGGAGAGGUGAGUGGAAUUCCUGGUGUAGCGGUGAAAUGCGUAGAUAUCAGGAGGAACACCGGUGGUGUAGACGGCUCACUGGACCGUAACUGACGCUGAGACACGAAAGCGUGGGUAGCAAGCAGG
rnacentral:rRNA from 1 species